UUAUGAAGAUAUUUUUCGCUGGUAUUUACUGAUUAUGUCAAAGUCAUGUGAUUCGCUACAUGGUGGAGUUGAUCAGUGCGUAAAAUAAAACGUCGCUUAGUUAUUUUGAAAUUCAAAUUACAAUAACACAUUGCUUAGGCUGAGGAUGACAACCAUGAUACCUUCAAAGCGACACAGGAUUGAGCAAGAACGUAGUGACAUCUGUUUCACAAUUCAACCA
rnacentral:lncRNA from 1 species